rnacentral:sRNA from 1 species
GAUUAUAUGUCAUGUGUAGUAUUGAGUAUAAAAACUAGAACCACAACUGGAUCCCAAAAGCAAAAGUAGUGUUUCCUUGUUAGAAGAUACAAAGGCAAAGACUCAUACGGACUUCGGCUACACCAUGAAAAUUUUGAGAAGCAAUAAGAAGCUUGGUUAGUGUUUUGGAGUCAAAUAUGACUAGAUGUCAUGUGUAUGAUUGAGUAUAAGAACUAGAACCGCAACUAAUUCCCAAAAGCUAUAUUAAUGUU